UACGGAGGGUGCAAGCGUUAUCCGGAUUCACUGGGUUUAAAGGGUGCGUAGGUGGUGAGGUAAGUCGGAUGUGAAAUCUCCGGGCUCAACCCGGAAAUGGCAUUGGAAACUACCUUGCUGGAGGGUUUGAGGGGGGAUUGGAAUACUUGGUGUAGCAGUGAAAUGCGCAGAUAUCAGGAGGAACACCAGUGGCGAAGGCGGUGGUCUGGGCCGAUACUGACGCUGUAGAGCGAAAGCGUGGGGAGCGAACAGG
rnacentral:rRNA from 1 species